GUCCACGCCGUAAACGAUGUCUGCUAGCCGUCGGGGUCCUUGAGGCCUCGGUGGCGCAGCUAACGCGAUAAGCAGACCGCCUGGGGAGUACGGCCGCAAGGUUAAAACUCAAAUGAAUUGACGGGGGCCCGCACAAGCGGUGGAGCAUGUGGUUUAAUUCGAUGCAACGCGAAGAACCUUACCAGGUCUUGACAUCCAGCGAACUGCCGAGAGAUCGGCGGGUUCCUUCGGGAGCGCUGAGACAGGUGCUGCAUGGCUGUCGU
rnacentral:rRNA from 1 species